AUUGAACGCUGGCGGCAGGCCUAACACAUGCACGUCGAGCGAGCGGCGGACGGGUGAGUAAUGUAUGGGGCCUGCCCGAUAGAGGGGGAUAACUACUGGAAACGGUAGCUAAUACCGCAUACUAUCGGAUAACCCAUAUGGGAUUAGCUAGUAGGUGAGGUAACGUCUCACCGAGGCGACGAUCCCUAGCUGGUCAGAGAGGAUGAGCAGCAACACUGGGACUGAGACACGGCCCAGACGCCUACGGAGGCAGCAGGGGGGAAUAGUGCACAAUGGGGGCGAGGCUGAUGCAGCCAUGGCGCGUGUAGGAAGAAGGCCCUAGGGUUGUAAAGUACUUUCAGUCGGGAGGCGUUACCGACAGAAGAAGGACCGGCUGACUCCGUGCCAGCGGCCGCGGUAAUAC
rnacentral:rRNA from 1 species